rnacentral:tRNA from 1 species
GCGCUCGUAGUCCAGUGGAUAGGACGGUGGCCUCCGAAGCCGCAAGCGUGGGUUCGACUCCCGCCGAGCGCACCA